AAUAAGGAGUGUGUGUCUGGCUAUCAAAGCAUUAGCAGAUGUCUUCAUCUCCUUCCCUGGCCACAGAAGACUCUGUGACAUCAAAGAGGAGUUCUAUAGGAUUGCAGAUGGUCUGCAAUGCUGACUGUGUGAUCAGCAAUGUUGUGGCAAAAUGGCCUGGCUCAGUCCAUGACUCCAGAAUCUUUCGGGCCUCUGAAAUCUAUCAGUGCCUAUCACAAGGUGAAUUCUCUGGUGUGUUGCUGGGAGACAGGGGGUAUGGCUGCCAGCCUUUUCUCCUGACACCUUUCACAGACCCCCAGGAAGCACAGCAGGCCUACAACCAUGCCCAUGCCAGGACCAGGGCCAGAGUUGAAAUGACCUUUGGCCUCCUGAAGGCACGCUUUCACUGCCUUCACAA